CCUACGGGAGGCAGCAGUGAGGAAUAUUGGUCAAUGGCCGAAAGGCUGAACCAGCCAAGUCGCGUGAGGGAAGACGGCCCUACGGGUUGUAAACCUCUUUUGUCGGGGAGCAAAGCGAGUCACGUGUGACUCAUGGAGAGUACCCGUAGAAACAGCAUCGGCCAACUCCGUGCCAGCAGCCGCGGUAAUACGGAGGAUGCGGGCGUUAUCGGGGUUUAUUGGGUUUAAAGGGUGCGCAGGCGGAGGUGCAGGUCAGCGGUCAAAUUGCGGGGCUCAACCCCGUAGUGCCGUUGAAACUGCAUCCCUUGAGUGCGAGAGAGGUAUGCGGAAUGCGUGGUGUAGCGGUGAAAUGCAUAGAUAUUACGCAGAACUCCGAUUGCGAAGGCAGCAUACCGGCGCGCAACUGACGCUCAUGCACGAAAGCGUGGGUAUCGAACAGGAUUAGAUACCCGAGUAGUC
rnacentral:rRNA from 1 species